rnacentral:misc_RNA from 1 species
AUUCACACCAACCUGCAGGUUAAACCAAAAGAUAUACAUAUAACAACCAGGGAAAUUUGUUCUUUAGCAACAUAAUUUGGAGUCACCCAUUUAUAAUGAGGUGUUCCAUUAAGGUUACAAAAAUAAAUAAAUAAAACCUAAACCCCACAAGAAGGCUCUACCUCGAAUAGGUGUUGUGUCCAAUGCAUCAACAGACUAAAAUAUCAUUAUGAUCUCAAAAUUCUAGGGAUAGGAUAAGAGCAAUAUCAAGAAAUCAUUUCAUGGAAUUGACAGGCAAGUGAUAGAUAAAAGGUAUGCAACUGAAUCGUAG